ensembl:snoRNA
CUAGCACUUUCACAGGUCCCGCCCCCCACAGUGGGGCCAGGAUUUGGUAGCUGGUGCUGAGAGAAAACCCCCUUGAGUGUGUCCUUGCCCUGGCACCGUGCCAUCGGCAGCUGUCACUCGGUGGGACAGAG